rnacentral:rRNA from 1 species
AACGAACGCUGGCGGCAUGCUUAACACAUGCAAGUCGAACGCAUGCCUUUGGGCAUGUGUGGCAGACGGGUGAGUAACGCGUGGAAACCUACCCCCUGGUCCGGGAUAGCUCCGUGAAACUGCGGAUAAUACCGUAUGUGUCCUGACGGACAAAGAUUCAUCGCCAUGGGUUGGGCCCCCGCCGGAUUACCUGGUUGGCGGGGUAAGGGCCUACAAGGGCGACGAUCCGUACCUGGUCAAAGAGGAUGAUCACCCACAUCGGGACGGAGAAACGGCCAGAAAUCCUGCGGGAGGCGGCAGAGGGGAAUACUGGACAAUGGGGGCAAGCCUGAACCAGCCCGGCCGCGUGAGUGAUGAAGGCCCUAGGGUAGUGAAGCUCUUUCACCGGUGACGGUAAUGACGGUACCCGAAGAAUAAGCCCCGGCUAACUUCGUG